AUUUAUGUAGUUUAAAUAAAACACUUCAUUUUCAAUGAAGAAAUAAGUAUAUUCUUUAUAAAUA
rnacentral:tRNA from 1 species